rnacentral:sRNA from 1 species
CCAUUUUGCACACCCUGGUCAGAAUGAAACAUUCCUUGGGAACUUGGGCCAUGAGAAGCAUCCUUCCUGAUCACCUGACUGUAGAAACAUCCUUAUCGCACCCUCCCGGGCAAAGGCCCAACAGCCUGACUGCAGGAACAUCCUUGCCAUAUCCUGCUGGGCAGCAAGCUCUACCGCCCAGACCCCUCCUUCCCAGUCCCAUGAUCACCCCAGCCUGUGAGAGGCAGUUGGUGCUGGCAGUAAGCUGGUUUCCUCCUCUGCAGGGUUUUGCUAGU